GAUGAACGCUGGCGGCGUGCCUAAUACAUGCAAGUCGAGCGAACGGACGAGAAGCUUGCUUCUCUGAUGUUAGCGGCGGACGGGUGAGUAACACGUAGAUAACCUACCUAUAAGACUGGGAUAACUUCGGGAAACCGGAGCUAAUACCGGAUGAUAUUUUGAACCGCAUGGUUCAAAAGUGAAAGACGGUCUUGCUGUCACUUAUAGAUGGAUCCGCGCUGCAUUAGCUAGUUGGUAAGGUAACGGCUUACCAAGGCAACGAUGCAUAGCCGACCUGAGAGGGUGAUCGGCCACACCGGAACUGAGACACGGUCCAGACUCCUACGGGAGGCAGCAGUAGGGAAUCUUCCGCAAAGGGCGAAAGCCUGACGGAGCAACGCCGCGUGAGUGAUGAAGGUCUUCGGAUCGUAAAACUCUGUUAUUAGGGAAGAACAUAUGUGUAAGUAACUGUGCACAUCUUGACGGUACCUAAUCAGAAAGCCACGGCUAACUACGUG
rnacentral:rRNA from 1 species